ACCGCGAUAGCUCAGUUGAUAGAGAAUCUGUCUGGUAGACGGAGUGUCGCCGUUUCGAUUCCGGCUUGCGGCG
rnacentral:tRNA from 1 species